rnacentral:tRNA from 1 species
GGGCCCAUAGCUCAGUUGGUUAGAGCACCCGACUCAUAAUCGGUAGGUCCCAGGUUCAAGCCCUGGUGGGCCCAUUU